UACGUAGGGGGCAAGCGUUGUCCGGAUUUAUUGGGCGUAAAGAGCGUGUAGGCGGCCUGAAAGGUCAGCUGUGAAAACUCGAGGCUCAACCUCGAGACGUCGGUUGAAACCAUCUGGCUAGAGUCCGGAAGAGGAGUGUGGAAUUCCCGGUGUAGCGGUGAAAUGCGCAGAUAUCAGGAGGAACACCGGUGGCGAAGGCGGUUCUCUGG
rnacentral:rRNA from 1 species